GCUUUUCUCUUCUUUUAAGCAUUUCAUCUGUUUGAUUCAUUUUAACAGUACAAGGAUUUCCUUUAUUCAUACGUGAUUUGGAAGUGACUCUCACUCAUGUGAGGUUUAGCAUUAGGGAUAUUUCCAUAUGUUUACUUUGAGCUCAUUUUAUCAUCUUUUUUGUUAGCGCCUUCCUGUUCUUCAUUCAUGUUAGACAGCGGUCCAUGUACAGACCAAGAACAAAAAACUGCUUAUGAAUGGUUUGAGUGGAGGUAUAAACAAAUUGUGGUCUUUUGGCUAAUUGGUUGGAUGACUACUUUCACUUUUUACCUUGCACAAAAUAAUCGAUUCCCUGGUUUCCCUUUAUGUUUCUUUCUCGCAAAUGCCAUUGGAAGCUCUCUGUGAUUUCUAAUGCUGGCUAUUUUGUUGGUUCAUUGUGGCACAAUUCGAAGCAGCCGCAUAUAAAUGUGUAAGUGGCAUCAUGAUUUGGGACACUACAGCGACAUUUUGCUCAUAUCAUAGUGCAUACAACCUUUUUCACAUGUGUUAUCUUAUUGUACCAUGGAUAUCAGAUAUGCACUGCAUAUGUAUAUUCAUUUGUUGUAUGCUUUACAGGACAGAUGGGCCUGGAAGAUACACCAGAAACAGAAGAAAAAGUUCUCAAAAUUGCGAAAGAGCGAUAUAGAGGCCGGUGAUCAACUCUAAGCUCCACUUACAAGGCAUACAAAACAGAUGCAGCUAGAUUGGCUAAUCUGCCGGAAGAUUUACAACCGGAAGAGUGAAUGGAUGAUUGAGUACUUUGGCACUGAUUCAAAAUUUCAGGAACACAACCGAAAGAACACCGAUAACCGUAAGAAACAGAAGACAAAACACAGAAUUAGAUCAAAAUCUUACUCGCAACUAAGUUUUGAUAAGGAUCCAAAGAACUAGCUCGACUGGACUCUAAUCACGGACAAUUUAGUCUUGGCACUUAAUUGGGAUGGCUAAAUUACAUUUGAGUUUCAUUUGAUGGAUAUUUACUAUGAGAAUUAUGAAUUUUAUUAAUCUACAUAUUAUACAUAUGGUUUUGAA